AUUGAACGCUGGCGGCAGGCUUAACACAUGCAAGUCGAGCGGUAGCACAGGGGAGCUUGCUCCCUGGGUGACGAGCGGCGGACGGGUGAGGAAUGUCUGGGAAACUGCCUGAUGGAGGGGGAUAACUACUGGAAACGGUAGCUAAUACCGCAUAACGUCGCAAGACCAAAGAGGGGGACCGUCGGGCCUCUUGCCAUCAGAUGUGCCCAGAUGGGAUUAGCUAGUAGGUGGGGUAAUGGCUCACCUAGGCGACGAUCCCUAGCUGGUCUGAGAGGAUGACCAGCCACACUGGACCUGAGACACGGUCCAGACUCCUACGGGAGGCAGCAGUGGGGAAUAUUGCACAAUGGGCGCAAGCCUGAUGCAGCCAUGCCGCGUGUGUGAAGAAGGCCUUCGGGUUGUAAAGCACUUUCAGCGAGGAGGAAGGUGGUGAGCUUAAUACGUUCAUCAAUUGACGUUACUCGCAGAAGAAGCACCGGCUAACUCCGUG
rnacentral:rRNA from 1 species